UGGGGAAUAUUGGACAAUGCGCGCAAGCCUGAUCCAGCCAUGCCGCGUGAGUGAUGAAGGCCCUAUGGUUGUAAAGCUCUUUCACCGGUGAAGAUAAUGACGGUAACCGGAGAAGAAGCCCCGGCUAACUUCGUGCCAGCAGCCGCGGUAAUACGAAGGGGGCUAGCGUUGUUCGGAAUUACUGGGCGUAAAGCGCACGUAGGCGGACAUUUAAGUCAGGGGUGAAAUCCCGGGGCUCAACCCCGGAACUGCCUUUGAUACUGGGUGUCUUGAGGUCGAGAGAGGUGAGUGGAAUUCCGAGUGUAGAGGUGAAAUUCGUAGAUAUUCGGAGGAACACCAGUGGCGAAGGCGGCUCACUGGCUCGAACCUGACGCUGAGGUGCGAAAGCGUGGGGAGCAAACAGG
rnacentral:rRNA from 2 species